rnacentral:lncRNA from 1 species
UGUUCUCAUGUCCCUCACAUCCAAAUUGGAUUUUUUUUCUUUGUCUUAAGCUUCUCAAGCACCCCUUAAGCUUCGUUAAUGAGGUCCGUUGUGGAAUAUCUGGUGCAUUCCCAUGUUGGGAAUAAAAAUCUCACCCCCCUGAAACUCUGACUGAGAAGUCAACAAAGUUGAAAUUCACGUCACCCAUGGGAAAGAUCAUUUCUGCUAGAGAUUUAAAAAUUUGAUUUGGAAAAUCAUUUGGAAAGUGUAAACCAUGUUGUUUCCCAAACAAGAAAGAAAGUGCCUGGGAAUAUCCCUCAACAGAAGAAAUCCUGAUUGGAAUGGCAUUUGUGGGGUUACUUUCUGGAGCCCAAGGACUCCUGCCGUGCUUGGAGUGUGGAUAACACUCAAGGAAAAUGUGGAUUUGGGCCUCUCCUCUGACAUGUAUUGCUUGAGGAAUGGUGGUGUGGCCCAGGCUUUGGAUGGAGUCAGAGGAUCUGGGCUUACUUCCCACCACUGAUGCUGUCUCUGUGACCUUGGGUAAGUCUUUUCAUCUCUAUGGGAUUUAGUUCCCUCAUUUAGAUCCCUCAUCAUUCCC